rnacentral:lncRNA from 1 species
AUCCAUCUGCUGAAUGUUGCCAAGUAACAGCCAUCCAUGGAACAUGGAAAAAUGAAUUCACCCGGCCAGGCCCAAAUUGUCGACCCACAGAACAUGAGAUGCAGAAGCUCUAACCAAGGAUUCCUAGAGAGAAAGAGUAGAGCCAUGAGACGAAGGGAGCCUGGGUCCCUAAAUCACCAUGUCGGAGCUCUUCAGCGAAAAGCUGACGCUGAGCUGCUACGUGAGCAAGAGACACCUUGCCCAGUAGAUAAAGUCGUUGAAUACUAGCGUGUUGUCAUACACUUUUUCUCAGAGUUUUUAAAGAGUACUUCGCUGAAAUGAUGCCAUCAGGAAAGAGAUAUUUUUACCUCUAUCACCUAUCAAUGCGAGACCAUAGCACAGACUCGAUAGCUAUGAUAAGAGAAAACCUCGGAAAUACAAGAAUUCUUUUGAUCUGAAACGAAGCCAAGCAAAGCAACAUCACCUUCUGGAAAGUGCAGAAACUGCAAUCAAGAUCAACAAAGAAAAGCACCCUUCCCAUAGAUUCAUCUCUUUGGCGUUUAAGUGUUUGGGCGAGUCUACAAAACUCAGAUUCCUCAUUUAACUAGAUGUUCCAGGUCACAGAGAUAUUCUACUAAGGCAAUUUUCAAAAGACCAUAAAACCACCACAUCAAUUUAUGCUUGCAGCUGCUUCUACUUCAACAAAUACAAGUGCGGCUAUAGUGCAGUAAUAUCAUCAUGGCUCACUGCAAUCUCGACUUCUCCAGCUCAAACAAUCCUCCCACCUCAGCCUCCCAAGCAGUUGGGACUACAGGCACGUGUCAUUACACCCAGGCUAUCUGCAAUACAUGACUCUGGAAGCUAGGGUGCUCUAUGCUGUGAUGCUAUCAAAUCUUCAUGGAUUUUUCCAGGAUCCUCAAGACAGGGUAUCACUCUGUUGCCCAGGUUGGAUUCCAGUGGCAUGAUCAUGGCUCAGUGCAGUCUCGACUUCUGGGGUUCAAGCGAUUCCCCCAUCUCAGCCUCCUC